AUCACACUGGGGGAGCUAGUUGUGCCCGAAAUACUUAUCCUAACCACAAAGAAUGAGAGGUCCAAGGCAGAACUAAUAACUGGAAUGAAGUU
rnacentral:rRNA from 1 species